GCUCAUUUCAGCAGCGAACGUGAUGGUGGCGAGGACAGGGCGGGGGCUGCGGGGAGGCGAUGCCGGCUGCCAGCACCCUGCUACAGGUAGCCACCACACGUUUCCCAGUGUGAAAGGAGCACGAGGCAGGGCAUGACUGAUGGAGAUAAUUAUGUCACUCCUGUUCCAGAAGAGAAUCCACUUUGCUGUUGGGUGCGUGCCCUGUGCCGGGGUAUCGGUGUGUCAUUCCCUUGGAGUCACCCUGCUCUGAGCCCCGGCGCUUGUUUAGCCACAACCUUCCUCACGUCCAACGCUUUGCAAAGCAGAGAGAACGACAGUAAGGACGUACGACUGGAAUUCAGGGGUCAGGAGAAGCUCAAGUUCAACGUGGUCGGGGUGGUUUGUAAAAUUGAUAGAGACAGAAU